rnacentral:rRNA from 1 species
CCUGGACCCGAAGCGGGAUGAUCUAGCCCUGGGCAGGUUGAAGCGCGGGUAAGACCGCGUGGAGGACCGAACCCACCUGGGUUGAAAACCGGGGGGAUGACCUGGGGCUAGGGGUGAAAGGCCAAUCAAAUUCCGUGAUAGCUGGUUCUCUCCGAAAUGCAUUUAGGUGCAGCGUCGGUUGAUUGCAUCGCGGGGGUAGAGCUACUGGAUGCUUGCGGGCCCGUAUGGGGUACCAAUAGCAGCCAAACUCCGAAUACCGUGGAUGUGUAUUCCGGCAGUGAGUCGGCGGGGGAUAAGCUCCGUCGUCGAGAGGGAGACAGCCCAGAUCGUCGUCUAAGGUCCCGAAGCGUGUGCUAAGUGGGAAAGGAUGUGGAGUCGCAUAGACAGCCAGGAGGUUGGCUCAGAAGCAGCCAUCCUUGAAAGAGUGCGUAACAGCUCACUGGUCUAGUGGUUCCGCGCCGACAAUGUAGCGGGGCUCAAGCACACCACCGAAGACGCGGCAGCGGCCUUUGCGGCCGUUGGGUAGGAGAGCGUCCCGCGUGGGGCGAAGCGGCCGGGGAACCGUGCCGUGGACCGCGCGGGAGUGAGAAUGCAGACAUGAGUAGCGAGAGACGGGUGAGGAUCCCGUCCGCUGGAUGACCAAGGGUUCCGGGGCCACGUUCGUCGUCCCCGGGUGAGUCGGGUCCUAAGGCGAGGCCGACAGGCGUAGUCGAAUGGAUGAACGGGUGGAUAUUCCCGUACCGGCGGCGUACCGUAAGAGCCGAACGGAUGAGUACUAACCUCCGGUCGCGUGGCGUCGUUCCCUUCGGGGUUCGGUGUCCGCGGUCGUUGGGAGCGUAGUCCCGGUAGGCUAGCGCACAGGGGUGACACGGAAUGGGAGCCGGCCGCGGAGGUGGUUUUCCGUGGUCAAGCACGCAGCCCGUCCCAUAGGCAAAUCCGUGGGGCAUGUAGGGUGAGGUGUGAUGAUGGGCGUCCUUUGGACGCGAUAUCCGGUGGUCCAGGCCGUCGAGAAAAGCCUCGGCGCGAGGGGCGUCGCCGCCCGUACCCCAAACCGACACUGGUGGUCAGGUAGAGAAUACCAAGGCGAUCGAGCGAAUCCUGGUCAAGGAACUCGGCAAAUCACUCCCGUGCCUUCGGUAUAAGGGAGACCCCCGGGCGUGAAGAGGCUUGCCCUCGGAGCGUUGGGGGGUGGCACAGACCAGGGGGUAGCGACUGUUUACCAAAAACACAGGUGCAUGCGAAGGCGCAAGCCGCUGUAUAUGCACUGACGCCUGCCCGGUGCCGGAAGGUUAAGAGGAUCCGUCAGUCCCUUUUGGGGUGAAGCGGUGAAUUCAAGCCCCGGUAAACGGCGGUGGUAACUAUAACCAUCCUAAGGUAGCGAAAUUCCUUGUCGGGUAAGUUCCGACCUGCACGAAUGGCGUAACGACUUCCCC